UCCCAUCCUCUUUGCUUAAUCUGGGAUUCUCAAAGGUAUUCACACAUCAGAGAAGCUCUGUCUGCCACUUCCAGGGAUGCAGUACUUCCCCUGAAGGAGGAGAGCAAGCUGAUGUGGCUGACUAGGAACUACAGGACUGCUCACGUUUGUUAAGUCUUGGUUUCGGCAGAGCCUCAAUCUGGCUGCUGGCUUUUUGGACCUCUGAAGAUGCUGCUGUGCUUGGACUCAGUGUGACUCUUCUCUCAGAAGAAGAGCAGCAUUGCAGCAAGAGAAGAUGCAUCCUCAGGAAAUCACAAACCUCACAGGAAGUGUUAUUUUCCAUCAACGGUAACUGCCUGUGUGCAGUUCUGGGAGGACAGAGCUGAAACAAGACAAGAACAAAAGCUGCAGAAGUAAAACUACCUCUAAAGCUCCUUUUAAACACACAGCACAGGAGGGAACAAAUGGACACUGAUUAUGAUGAAACCUUUUGCUUCCUGUAGUGUUUGGCAUUCCUUAAUAUGUCCUGAUAGCUUUGAUUUCCUCUCCUCCAUUG